AAAGUUAAUAUGGUUAUUCUGAGUGUUUGCUAAGCACAUUGGAUUUGAGUUUAAUUCUCAAAUAAUUUUG